rnacentral:rRNA from 1 species
AGUAGGGAGGUAAGGUAGUGUAGUUAACACCUGCUAUUAUUUUGACGUUACCUACAGAAGAAGCUACCGGCUAACUCCGUGCCAGCUAGCCGCGGUAAUACGGAGGGUGCGAGCGUUAAUCGGAAUUACUGGGCGUAAAAGCGCAUGCAGGUCGGCCUGUUAAGUCAGAUGUGAAAGCCCGGGGCUUAACCUCGGAAUUGCAUUUGAAACUGGCAGGCUAGAGUCUUGUAGAGGGGGUAGAAUUUCAGGUGUAGCGGUGAAAUGCGUAGAGAUCUGAAGGAAUACCAGUGGCGAAGGCGGCCCCCCUGGACAAAGACUGACGCUCAGAUGCGAAAAGCGUGGGGAGCAAACAGGAUUAGAUACCCUGGUAG